GCCAGUGUGGUGUAGUGGUUUGAAUGUUGAAUUAAAACUCUGGAGACCAGGGUUCGAUUCCCAGCUCAGCCA